UACGAAGGGGGCGAGCGUUGUUCGGAAUUACUGGGCGUAAAGGGCGCGUAGGCGGUGUGUCAAGUCAGGCGUGAAAGCCCCGGGCUCAACCUGGGAACGGCGCUUGAGACUGGCACGCUCGAGUUCGGGAGAGGAUGGUGGAAUUCCCAGUGUAGAGGUGAAAUUCGUAGAUAUUGGGAAGAACACCGAUGGCGAAGGCAGCCAUCUGGACCGACACUGACGCUGAGGCGCGAAAGCGUGGGGAGCAAAC
rnacentral:rRNA from 1 species